rnacentral:rRNA from 1 species
CUAACGCAUGCAAGUCGAGCGCCCCGCAAGGGAGCGGCAGACGGGAGAGUAACACGUGGGAACGUACCCUUCGGUUCGGAACAACCCAGGNAAACUUGGGCUAAUACCGGAUACGUCCGAAAGGAGAAAGAUUUAUCGCCGAGGGAUCGGCCCGCGUCUGAUUAGCUAGUUGGUGGGGUAAUGGCCCACCAAGGCGACGAUCAGUAGCUGGUCUGAGAGGAUGAUCAGCCUCACUGGGACUGAGACACGGCCCAGACUCCUACGGGAGGCAGCAGUGGGGAAUAUUGGACAAUGGGCGCAAGCCUGAUCCAGCCAUGCCGCGUGGGUGAUGAAGGCCCUAGGGUUGUAAAGCCCUUUCGGCGGGGAAGAUAAUGACGGUACCCGCAGAAGAAGCCCCGGCUAACUUCGUGCCAGCAGCCGCGGUAAUACGAAGGGGGCUAGCGUUGCUCGGAAUCACUGGGCGUAAAGCGCACGUAGGCGGCUUGUUAAGUCAGGGGUGAAAUCCUGGAGCUCAACUCCAGAACUGGCUUUGAUACUGGCGAGCUUG